UUCAAGUAACUGGGACUGCAGGCAUUGACCACCAUGCCCACCUAAUUUUAAAGAUUUUUGUAGAGAUGGGCUCUCGCUAUGUUGUCUAAACUGGUGUCGAAUUCUUGGGCUUAAGUGAUCCUCCCACCUCAGCCUUGCAAAAUGCUAGGAUUAUGGGCAUGAGCCACUGUACCCAGAAAGAAAAUUUAUUAUUGAUACAUAACACUAUGUAACCUAUAGACCUUAUUUAAAUCUUACAGUUAUCCCAAUAAUAUAUUUAUUGGUUUUCUGCUCUAGAGUCCAAAGAUUACACAUUGCAUUUAGACUGCUUUAAUCUGAAUUGCUACCUCUUUCAUUGUUUUUAAUGACCUUGAUAUUCUUGAGAUUAUUUUGUAGAAUGUCUCUUAAUUUGGAUUUGCCUGAGGUUUCCUUACAAUUGGAUUUGAAUUACAUUUUUUUCCCUGAGGACUCUUAAGUGGUGUGCAGCACAUCAGGAAACACGGUUAGUUAAGUGAAGCAGUUGGAGUGAAGAAGGAACAAAGAAAUCUGGAACUGGUUGUGAUCACCAGUUGUAACACUACUGCACCCAAACCAGCCUAUAGAUGCAUUUUUAACUGUGUGAUGGGGGUGACUGUCCCAAUCCCAGAGUUGUUCAAGGGUUGACUGCACUAAUUCUUCCAAUCAAUAAAUAUGGAAUAUCUUUCCAUUUUUCUGUGUCGUCUUCAAUUUCUUUCAUCAGUGUUUUAUAGUUAUCAACCUGGAGUUCUUUCACUGCCUUGGUUAAGUGUAGUCCUAGGUAUAAUUUUUUUGUAGUGUUUGUAAAUGGAAUAGUUUCUUGAUUUCUUAUUUUAGAUAGUUCACUGUUAGCAUAUUUCCUUCACUUCCCUGCCAGCUCCUUUCAUUUGCCAAAAAAUCCCUGUAUUUCAAAGUGAUCAAUUAAACCCAACAAAAAUGAGAAAAUUUUGUUGUUCUGUGACCCGAUCAAAGGUUACUUUUCCUUCUUGUGAGUCUUUAACAUCUUUGAAUCGCUCAUGAUAGAUAUCAUUGUCUAGAUAUAUCCAGGCACAUGAAAAGAAUGCAAUAAGAUAAAAAAGAGUUUGAGAUUCUCUGUUCACCUUUCUCUCUAUACAGCCACAUUUACUUCAUUUUUUAAUUUUCUUUUUUCUUUUUUUUUUUUUGCCUCUCCACUCUUUGAAACAGCCACAUUUAACUUUCCAGUCACACUUAGUUGUAGUGUCACUUUAGAAAGGAAACAAAGAAAACAGAACAGGGAAGGAACAGAAAAAUAAAGGUCAAGCGCUAAUAGCCCCUGAGAACAGUUAACUGAAUCCACUUACAUAUUUAAAAAUAAAUAAAUUAUUUAAAGUGGCAAGGUCUGCCUUGCGGAAGAUUUUAGGAAGCGUAGUGCGUGAGAACCAGGUAGCUAAGACUACUUCCGUUUGGCGGGGCGGGACAGUAGCCUGUUUCCGCUCGGGCAUUCUGGGAAGUGUAGUGCAGGAGUCGUUGCAACCUUGUGCACUUCCGCUGCAGGAGGGCGAGGCAGCCGUCAUCAAUCCCCUCUGGGAGUUCUGCCUUCGCAGGACCCUGCCCUUCCCUAGAAGGAGCAGGAGAAAAUGACCAAGUUUCAGGGGAUGGUGACAUUCAAGGAUGUGGCUGUGGUCUUCACCAGGGAGGAGUUGGGGUUGCUGGACCUUGCCCAGAGAAAGCUGUACCAAGAUGUGAUGCUGGAGAACUUCAGGAACUUGCUGUCAGUGGGCUAUCACCCCUUCAAACUAGAUGUGAUACUACAGUUGGGAAGAGAAGACAAGCUUUGGCUGACGGAGACAGAAAUCCAAGGAGAUGGCUGUUCAGGUGAGAACCAUGCACCUCUGAGUCUUUGCGUGGUACAACCCAGUCCUCUCCUCCUCACCACCCCCUAGGCCACCAGCCUGGCCCAAGCCCUCAGCAUUCAUCACCCCGGUUUACUGCAGCAGCUUGCACAUGACCUUCCUCCUUCUACCUCCCUCCAGUCCAUUCUCCACGUAGCAGCCAGAUCAUGACACAGGAAUCAAAAUGAGAUAGAUAUCCUUCAAGAAGUAAGAUUAAGAUUCCUUUCAUAUGAAGAACUUAUAUGCUGGCAAAUAUGGGAACAAUUUACAAGUAAAUUAACCAGUAAUCAAGACUUCAUAAUAAAUCUUCAAGGCCAGAGGUCCAACUUGCUAAAACAAGGUGAUUCCCCCUGUCAGGUGUGGACAGGAGAAUCUAUUCAGGUCUCUGAAGAUGAGAACUAUACAAUAAAGGGGCAAGGGGAGAGUUCAAAUAGCAUCAAAAAUCAAGAGCUUCCAAUGAGGACCACCUGGGAUUUCUGGAGGAAAAUGUAUCUGAGAGAACCACAGAAUUAUCAGAGUAGGUGUCAGCAAAUUGAUGUAAAAAAUAAUCUCUGUAAAUGUGACCAUUGUGUUACGCAAAGGAUUGCUCAUCAACAUGAUGGUCAUGGAGUACACAAAAGAGAGAAAGCUUUUAGCCACAAUAAUUGUGGAAAAGACUGUGUGAAGGAAUCAUCCCAACAUAGCGUAAUCCAAUCAGGAAAGCAAACCUCUGAGAAUGGAAAAGGCUUCAGUGUUAGCUCUAAUCUUGAACUUCACCAGCAACUACACUUAGAAGACAAGCCUCAUGUAAGUGUCGAGUAUGGGAAGGGCAUAGGUUACAGCUCAGGGCUUCCCAGGCAUCAAUGUGUCCACAUAGGAGAGAAAUGCUAUCAGAAUGGUGACAGUGGUGAGGGCUUCAGUCAGGGCUCACAUGUGCAACCUCAUCAGAGAGUCAGCACAGGAGAGAACCUCUACAGAUGUCAGGUAUGUGCCCAGAGCUUCAACCAGAACUCCUGUCUUCCCUCUCAUGAGCUUACUCACCCCAGAGAGAAGUUGUGUACAUGUGGCACGUGUGGGAAGGGCUUCCAUCAUAGCUUAGAUUUUGACAUUCACUGUGUAGAUAGUGCUGGAGAGCGAGCCUGUAAAUGUGAUGUAUAUGAUAAAGGCUUCAGUCAGACAUCACAACUUCAAGCCCAUCAGAGAGGUCACUCUAGAGAGAAGACAUACAAAUGGGAAGUAAGUGACAGGAUAUUUAAUAGGAAUUCUGGUCUUCAUCAGAGAGUUCACACUGGAGAGAAACCAUAUACAUGUGAGGUAUGUGAUAAGGGCUUCAGUAAGGCCUCAAAUCUUCAAGCCCAUCAGAGAAUCCACACUGGAGAGAAACCCUACAAAUGUGAUGUGUGUGAUAAGAACUUCAGCCGUAAUUCCCACCUUCAGGCCCAUCAGAGAGUCCAUACAGGAGAGAAACCCUACAAAUGUGACACACGUGGGAAGGACUUCAGUCAGAUCUCUCACCUUCAGGCCCAUGAGAGAGUUCACACAGGAGAGAAGCCAUACAAAUGUGAGACAUGUGGGAAGGGCUUUAGUCAGAGUUCGCAUCUCCAGGACCAUCAGCGAGUCCAUACUAGAGAGAAACCCUACAAAUGUGGUGUGUGUGGGAAAGGCUUCAGUUGGAGUUCACAUCUUCAAGCCCAUCAGAAAGUCCACACAGGAGAGAAACCAUACAAAUGUGAAGAAUGUGGGAAAGGCUUCAUCUGGAACUCAUAUCUCCACGUUCAUCAGAGGAUCCACACGGGAGAGAAACCCUAUAUAUGUGGCAUGUGUGGUAAGAGCUUCAGUCAGACCUCACAUCUUCAAGCCCAUCAGAGUCCAUACUGGAGAGAAACCAUACAAAUGUUUUGUGUGUGGUAAGGGCUUUAGUAAGAGUUCAUGUCUUCAGAUUCAUCAGAGAGUCCAUGAUGGUGAUAAAUCCAUUAAUCAUGAUGAGUGUGAUAGAGGUGCUCUUCAAGACUUAGACUUCUCAUUUUCCUAGAAAAUCCGCACAGCAGAGAAUAUUUAUAAAAUGUCAUGUUUUAAGAAUUCACGAGUGAGCUGAGUUUUUAUAGUCAUCUGAAUUCCAUUGAAGAAAACCUAUUUUUUGUAUGAAUAUGACCAAUUUCAAGCAGAGCUCAAAAUGUCACAGUUGUCAAGAGAACACAAAACAAAGAAACCCUAUAAAGAAUGAUACGAUACAUUUGAAUCAGAACCUUCACAUUCAAUAAGCAAUAUGCAGGAGUGAAGACUUCAAAAUGAUAAGGUCAGAACUUUAUCAAAAGUAUAAUGAGGGACAUGACAAAAUCUGUGUCCACUAGAAUCUAAGCUCCAUGCAGGAACAUUGUUUGCUGCUGUAUGAUCAUGACCUUGAACCAGUACCUAACAAGUAGUGGCUUCCCUGGAAUUGUUCAAUUUGAUAGGAAAAAUCUAUCAUAUAUAGGACAUAUAUUUGAACAUUUUAGUGAGCUCAGCCACAAUUCGUCAUUAUAAUUGUACUGGGAAAAGGAUUCUUGCAAGAAGCCUUAAAAUAAAUUCAAGGAAAUGACGUUUAAUUAAAACACAGAAAACCA